rnacentral:rRNA from 1 species
GAUGAACGCUAGCGGCAGGCCUAACACAUGCAAGCCGAGCGGUAGAGCUUCUUCGGAAACUUGAGAGCGGCGCACGGGUGCGUAACACGCGUGCAACCUACCUUUAUCUGGGGGAGGGCCUUUCGAAAGGAAGAUUAAUACCCCCUAAUAUAAUGCUUGGCAUCAAUUAUUAUUGAAAACUCCGGUGGAUAGAGAUGGGGACGCGCGCGAUUAGAUAGUUGGUGAGGUAACGGCUCACCAAGUCAAGGAUUGUUAGGGGUCCGGAGAGGGAGAUCCCCCACACGGUGACCGGGACCCGUGCCAGACGCCUACGGGAGGCAGCAGUGAGGAAGACAGGACAAGGGGUGAGAGCCUGAUCCAGCCAACCCGCGUGAAGGAUGACGGUCCGAUGGAUGGUAAACUUCUUGUGGAAAGGGAUAAACCUAUCCGAGGGAGCGUAGCUGAAGGUACUGGACGAAUAAGCACCGGCUAACUACGUG